AGCUAAUACUUGCUUUAGCACUCUUGAUUAAGUUCUUGAGUGUGUACUUGUUAAGCCUUUUAAGAAAAAAGUUAUUAACUUAAGGAAUUAUAACAAAGAAGUAACACGUAAUGGAUCCGUCCAUUUUUAGUGUGUAUCAAUCGAGUUUCUGACCUACCAGCUUUUGAUGUUAGGGUAUUGGCCUAACAUGGCUAUGACGGGUAACGGGGAAUUAGAGUUCGAUUCCGGAGAGGGGGCCUGAGAAAUAGCUACCACAUCUAAGGAAGGCAGCAGGCGCGUAAAUUACCCAAUUCUAAAGAAGAGAGGUAGUGACAAGAAAUAACAAUACAAGGCCAAUCUGGCUUUGUAAUUGGAAUGAUGGGAAUUUAAAACCUUCCCAAAACUCAAUUGGAGGGCAAGUCUGGUGCCAGCAGCCGCGGUAAUUCCAGCUCCAAUAGCGUAUAUUAAAAUUGUUGCAGUUAAAACGCUCGUAGUUGAAUUUCAAAGAAUCGAUAUUUUAAGUAACGCUUUUAGCUUAAUCCACAUAACUGAUACUACGUAUCGACUUUGUGCGCAUUUUGCUAUUAUGUGUUCUUUUAAUUAAAAUGAUUCUUUUUAAGAUCUUUCUUUUGCUUCGGCAUUUGAAGACCUUGUUACUUUGAGUAAAUUAGAGUGUUCAAAGCAAACAGAUAUAGCAUUGCGCGUUUGAAUACUACAGCAUGGAAUAACAAAACUGAACAAGUCAGAAUUUUGUUCUUUUUUCUUAUUUUGGCUUAGUUACGAUUAAUAGGAGUAGCUUGGGGGCAUUUGUAUUCAGAUGUCAGAGGUGAAAUUCUUAGAUUUUCUGGAGACAAACAACUGCGAAAGCAUUUGCCUAAAAUACUUCCAUUAAUCAAGAACGAAAGUUAAGGGAGUGAAGACGAUCAGAUACCGUCGUAAUCUUAACCAUAAACUAUGCCGACUAGGCUUUGGAUGAAAGAUUUUAAAAUAAGA
rnacentral:rRNA from 1 species